AAUCAACGCUGGCGGCGCGCUUAACACAUGCAAGUCGAGCGAGAAAGUCCCUUCGGGGAUGAGUAAAGCGGCGGACGGGUGAGUAACACGUGGGUAACCUACCCUCGAAUGGGGAAUAACCCCGGGAAACUGGGGCUAAUACCGCAUACGAUCCUUCGGGAUGAAAGCCUUCGGGCGUUCGAGGAGGGGCCCGCGCCCGAUUAGCUAGUUGGUAGGGUAAUGGCCUACCAAGGCUCCGAUCGGUAGCCGGCCUGAGAGGGCACACGGCCACACUGGCACUGAGACACGGGCCAGACUCCUACGGGAGGCAGCAGUGGGGAAUCUUGGACAAUGGGGGCAACCCUGAUCCAGCGACGCCGCGUGACCGAUGAAGCCUUUCGGGGUGUAAAGGUCUUUCAGCGGGGACUAACCUGAAGGUACCCGCAGAAGCAGCUGCGGCUAACUACGUGCCAGCAGCCGCGGUAAUACGUAGGCAGCAAGCGUUGUUCGGAAUUACUGGGCGUAAAGCGAGUGUAGGCGGUCGCC
rnacentral:rRNA from 1 species